rnacentral:lncRNA from 1 species
CAAUUUCUUUACAUACUGGGCUACGAGCCCAAUAUCGAAGACUAAUAUCACCGAGGCCCAAACACCUUCAAGUAAGGCUUGGGCCCAACAAAGCAAACCCAACCCAAUAAACGACAUAUAAAUAGAGGUUUUACUCAUUUUAUUAAGGUACGUCCUAUUAACUGAGCAAUACUAUCAACUGUAUUCUCUGGACUAUUUCUAUGAUCAGCACGUCUGACUUGAGCGUCGGAGGGGUUUCCGCCGGAUCAACCCCCGGCGUAGUUCACGUGUGUUCAUUUCGCAGGUACCUCAGGAUCAUCAAGUUGUCAAGCUACUGAUCUGCUUUGCUCUCCCAGUUCGUUUUCCACACUAGGAGACCACUCGCUCCAUCCUACGACCCGCAGCGAGGAAACUCCCACGAGGAGCCAACUCGCUCGGUCCUACGAACCCACAGCGAGAUAACUCCCAUGAGGAGACCACUUGAUCCGCCCUAUAACCUGUUGCGAGGUAAAUCCCACGAGGAGCCAACUCCCUCGGGUCUCAUAACCACAGCGAGAUAACUCCCACGAGGAGACCACUCGCUCUAUCCCACAAUUCGCAGCGAGACAACUCCUACGAGGAGCCAACUCACCCGAUACUACAACCCGUAGCGAGACAACUCCCACGAGGAGUCUACUCGCUCGGUACUACAACCGGCAGCAAGACAACUCCCACGAGGAGAUAACUUGCUCAGUCAUAUAACCCGUUGCGAGGCAACUCCCACGAGGAGUCAACUCCCUCGGGCCUACGAACCCACAGCGAGAUAACUCCUACAAGGAGACCAAUCGCUCCAUCCUACGACUCGCAGCGAGGGAACUCCCACGAGGAGCCAACUCGCUCGGUACUACGAACCCGUAGCGAGACAACUCCCACGAGGAGCCAACUCGCUCGGUACCACAACCCGCAGCGAGACAACUCCCACGAGGAGCCAACUCGCUCGAUACUACAAAUCCGUUGCAAGGCAACUCCCACGUACAACCACCUCGCUCGAUAAUAAGACUCGCUGCGAGACAACUCCCACGGGGAGACAACUCGCUCAGAGCAACCUCAAUCCGCACACUCCUCAAUCGCGCGUCAUCCAAUGCUCCUACAACUUCGCUGCAAGACAACUCUCUUGAAGAGACAACUCGCUCGCAAUGCACUAUAUAAUCGCAAGCUCAAGUUAGCACGAUUACAACCCUAGAAACACUUAGAGAUAUUAUGAGAAUCUAUAUAGCCUGGCCAGCUUGAUUACUCAAAAUUUAUCUACUUGUUUUCAAUGGGUCCUUCAUUAAAACGUGGCCACGGUCCAAACAUACUUACGACCCACGAGGUCUAACAAUGGGCACGAUCCCCAUAAAAAAAACUCUUGAGAGCCUGAUCCCCUCCUCAAGUACAUCACGCACAAGGCUAUAUGUAAACACAUACAAGCAACGCGUCAAAACAUUGACAAUGUCGAUAAAUAACAACUCCCACGAGGAGAAUACUAGCUCCGUGCUACUACAUUAUCACGAGACAACUCCCACGAGGAGAUAACUCGAUCAACACUAUUACCCCGCGACAAGACAACUCCCACGAGGAGAUAAUUCGCUACUACAUCGUCGCGGGACAAAACCGACGACUCAAUUAACUUACAUCGCGACAACCUUGUCGCGCUAUGCGCCAACGCGCAUUCACGCCCCUCCGACACACGCUACAACGCGUUUUCGCAUACCAUUAGGCCAUACGCCAACGAUCGACUUCUACAAUUUUUACUCUCGACACGAUCUGAGACCCAUCACAACAUGGCCCCCACAUCGACUCGAGAGUGGGGGGCUUAAUGAUAUGCCUAAUUGGGCCAACCCAAUGGGCCUACAAUUUCUUUACAUACUGGGCUACGAGCCCAAUAUCGAAGACUAAUAUCACCGAGGCCCAAACACCUUCAAGUAAGGCUUGGGCCCAACAAAGCAAACCCAACCCAAUAAACGACAUAUAAAUAGAGGUUUUACUCAUUUUAUUAAGGUACGUCCUAUUAACUGAGCAAUACUAUCAACUGUAUUCUCUGGACUAUUUCUAUG